rnacentral:rRNA from 1 species
CCUGGCGGCACUAGCGCGGAGGUCCCACCUGACCCCAUGCCGAACUCAGAAGUGAAACGCCGUAGCGCCGAUGGUAGUGUGGGGUCUCCCCAUGCGAGAGUAGGGAACUGCCAGGC